CUUAUAUUCCCUUCAUUUCAAAAAAUUUGUCUUAGAUUUGUCUAAAUAUGAAUGUAUCUAGUCACGUUUUAGUAUUUAAAUACAUCAAUUUUUAAACAAAACUAAGACAAGAAUUUUAAAACGGAGGGAGUAUUUA
rfam:Hordeum vulgare subsp. vulgare, WGS project CAJW01000000 data, contig: morex_contig_55211